rnacentral:rRNA from 1 species
GACGAACGCUGGCGGCGUGCCUAAUACAUGCAAGUUGAGCGCUGAAGGUUGGUACUUGUACCAACUGGAUGAGCAGCGCACGGGUGAGUAACGCGUGGGGAAUCUGCCUUUGAGCGGGGGACAACAUUUGGAAACGAAUGCUAAUACCGCAUAAAAACUUUAAACACAAGUUUUAAGUUUGAAAGAUGCAAUUGCAUCACUCAAAGAUGAUCCCGCGUUGUAUUAGCUAGUUGGUGAGGUAAAGGCUCACCAAGGCGAGGAUACAUAGCCGACCUGAGAGGGUGGUCGGCCACAUUGGGACUGAGACACGGCCCAAACGCCUACGGGAGGCAGCAGUAGGGAAUCGUCGGCAAGGGACGAAAGUCUGACCGAGCAACGCCGCGUGAGUGAAGAAGGGUUUCGGAUCGUAAAACUCUGUUGGUAGAGAAGAACGUUGGUGAGAGUGGAAAGCACAUCAAGUGACGGUAACUACCCAGAAAGGGACGGCUAACUACGUG